GAACUGAGCCACCCUAACGGCAACAAAAAGCCAUCCCAGAUCCAAAUAACCCACCUACCCUCCACCUUCUACCACGUCGCCACCGGAGAAGCACCCCAGGUCGCCGCCGCCCCGCCCAUCUUCUGCCGCGCUGCCCCGCCCCCGUCCACCUUCUGCCGCGCCGCCAGAGCACCACCCAGGCCGCCGCCGCGCCCCGCCCAACCCCCGUCCACCUUCUUCCAAAGCCGCCACCGGAGCACCACUCCCAGGCCGCUGUCGCGCGGCUCCCCGAGCCACCUUCCUCUCCGCGCUCGCCACCGCAAGCCACCCCCCCACCUUCCUCUCUACAGCCGGCCGCCGCGAGCCAGCGUCGCUCCGCCGCCUUCAUCUCUGUGCGCGGCCGCGGCAAGCCAGCACCGCCGAACCACCUUCCUCUCCGCGCCUGGCCGCCGUGAGCAGGUGCCGCCCCGCCAGCUUCUUCUCCGCGCCCAACCGCCUUGAGGUGUGCGACCCCGACCACAUCUUCACCGGCCACGGACCCAUGGAUCCCGUGUCGGAUCCGAGUUCCUCCCUCCCUGAGCAACACCGCGCCCACCUGAAUCGCCGAGGACGAGCUCUCUCCUCCUCGUGGCGGUCUCCGGCCAGGGCCUCAUCUGCGCCAUCCGUGGUGCUCCGGCGCCGCCCCACCUCAUGCAGCUCGGUCGCGGCCCCCGUGCAGCUCGGCCGCGGCCCCCAUCUUCGUGCAGGUUUGCCGGCCACCGCUUGCCUCUGCUGGCCUCCCUCGUCGUCAGCCAUGACGCCGCAACCACCGGCCUCGAGCAUCCUCUCCUCCCCAUCGAUUGUUUUUUGCUUUUUUUAUAUUUCACUUGGGCACAUCGCUGCAGUUCUCUUGGGGCAUCAGUGCGUUGCGGCUGGAUGUCCAGUCCACCGGCGGUCGUUGCUUGCAGUCCGGUGGCACGAGGCUCGUGGUCGGAUGUGCAGUGCAGUGCUAUUCGCCCUUCCGCGCUGCAGUUCGCCGGCAGAUGUGUUGACCAUCCAAGAUCAACUGCACCCCUCCCCCCACCGGCGCCAUGCAGUCCAGUACGUGGGGGCACGCAGCACGCCCCACCGGCGCCGUGCAGUCCAAAGUGUGUGUGCAAGCAGCACGCCACCCAUUCCCAAGCCCAUCUCUCUCCCUCCUCACACACGCUCCAAGCGCUCUCUAGCUCACCAAGCUGCGGGAGGCCUUCGCCGGCCUCGGCCAGAUCAGCGACAAGGAGAAGUCCGGAUUCAUCAGCCUCGUCUCCCGCUACCUCAGGUAAUUUCUUUGUGCUGCAUCAGAGACGGUUCUGCUCCCGUUCAUCAUCCAUGGUGUCGAUGUUGUCAGUGUAAUCUCGCGACGGAUGGGUUCUUUUCAUCCUCUCCAGCUAGUUCUACGAUGAGCAGCUGCUAUCGCUCACUUUCCUCCCCCACAAUGCAGUGUGGCAGGGCGGCGCUUGCAGUGCGGCACUCACGGCUGAGCAGCGAACCCACUGAACCUAUCGAGUAGAUGAGACCGACGAAUCCCUGCAGAAAAUGGAAGAUCCCAUCCAUCAUUUCUUGCAUCUUUGUCAUGUUUUUCUAGUGAUUGCUCUGAUGAUCCGUUGUGCAAGAUAGGCUGAAGACCCAGCCUUCUUCGGUACGACAUCAACGGAGUACUCUUUGUGCUGAAACCAUGCCUUUUUGUUGUUGUUGUUGUUGCGAAACACAAGUUUAUUUUAGUAUUAGAAUCAUUAGCAAGAAUGUCUGGGAACUUGCUUUCAGUGAGAUAUAGGUUCUUUUUUCUAGGCAGAAACGGGAGUUACAGAAACCUACGAAAUUAGUAGAUUGCAAUGCUCAUUAUCUCAGAUCACAAGUUAUCUUGUUUAGUUGCAUAUAAGGUGUUACUGGUAACGGAUGCAUAACUUUGAUUUAGCUACUAAAUAUCUCAUCAUGUAUUUGCUAGAUUCAGUCCCAAAGUCCUGCAUCGCAUCAAUGUUUCUUCCUACAUAUGUUCUGCUAGAAACAUUAGGUUAAAAAAGAGUACUCUCGUUCAGAGUGACAACCACAAAAAACAGGUACAUAGCAAGCAAACACAUCAGAUGUCUCAAGUGUAAAUUCUCUAUCAAAUACUUGUUCAGAAGUCGCCACUAUUACAGACAGUUCUGGUUCCAGUUCCCUACCACUGAGGAGAGCUUCAUUCCUCGCAUGCACAGCUCAAGAUAAUAGCACAGCAGAAAAACUAUUCUGCUUGGUGUGCAGCAGACAGACUAUUUUGCAAGAGGGCACGACUCACAUGAUCGACACGCUCAAGUAAUCACCUAUCUUUAAACCAAGGGCGGCGCUUGCAGUGCGGCACUCACGGCCGAGCAGCGAACCCAGCUACCGACCAGAGGGAACCAAGGCCUCAUCAUUCACAUAUCUAGCUCUGACCAGGACAGCAAAGAGCGUGCUGUGGCCAAGAUCAAUUUUCUCAGCCUCACGGACUAUGUGGACCCCAAGCAGAAGACCGGCAGGGGAGCGGCCGCUCUGUCGAGCAGCAACAAGUCCAUGUAUACCUUGAUGAAUGUCGUGCAAGCGCUGAAUAGCAACCACAGCUUUGUGCCAUACAGGCAGAGCAAAGUUACUCGUAUUCUGCAAGACUCUUUGUGCAAGACGAGCGGGGCUGUGGUGAUUCCUUCUUGGUAAGCUAUACUCACCAUCUUCAUCUAGUGUGGUGUUGUUUUGCUCAUUGCAAGAGGCACGAAAGAGGUUAAUUUGUAUAACAGCACCUUCUAGUGCGGUGCUCACGGCCGUGCGUGUUAGCCGGCGUGGCCGCUACGGUUGGCCGCGCCAGCCACUCCCCGGGCACCGGGGACCUGAUUGCUUUCUUUCUUUUUUGGUUGAGGGGAGUUCCACAAAAUUUAGUUUGCGGCAGCGUGGUUCGACACAGAGUGAAGUUUGUUGGCGCGGGCGGCGUUUUGUUCUUUUAUUUGUAUAGAAAAAAAAUUCAUCUCUCUCGUCAGGCACAAGUAGCCUAUUUUAUUUGGAAUAUGUAGUUCAGGGGCAUGGUCACUCCUGGUCUCCACCGACCUCUCAGGUUGCCAUUGGCCAUUUUGGCUGACUUUGCAGGUGUAGUAUGCCCCUGAGGUGUGAUCUAGUGCAGCACUGUUCGUCUGGUGACAGUGUUGAUUUUGUGUGUAUGUUGUGUGUGUUUUUGUGUAAAAAGAAAGAAAAGAUAUAUAUGUUUUGAAGCUCA